rnacentral:rRNA from 1 species
UGGGAAUUUGGACAAUGGGCGAAAGCCUGAUCCAGCAAUGCCGCGUGUGUGAAGAAGGCCUUCGGGUUGUAAAGCACUUUUGUCCGGAAAGAAAUCCUUGGCUCUAAUACAGUCGGGGGAUGACGGUACCGGAAGAAUAAGCACCGGCUAACUACGUGCCAGCAGCCGCGGUAAUACGUAGGGUGCAAGCGUUAAUCGGAAUUACUGGGCGUAAAGCGUGCGCAGGCGGUUUGCUAAGACCGAUGUGAAAUCCCCGGGCUCAACCUGGGAACUGCGUUGGUGACUGGCAGGCUAGAGUAUGGCAGAGGGGGGUAGAAUUCCACGUGUAGCAGUGAAAUGCGUAGAGAUGUGGAGGAAUACCGAUGGCGAAGGCAGCCCCCUGGGCCAAUACUGACGCUCAUGCACGAAAGCGUGGGGAGCAAACAGGAUUAGAUACCCUGGUAGUCCACGCCCUAAACGAUGUCAACUAGUUGUUGGGGAUUCAUUUCCUUAGUAACGUAGCUAACGCGUGAAGUUGACCGCCUGGGGAGUACGGUCGCAAGAUUAAAACUUAAAGGAAUUGACGGGGUCAUAGCUGUUUCCU